CCAACUGAAUAAAUUAUCAAUAUUGAUAAACUUCAAAUUUACACCAUGACAUGUGCAAUUAUCAAUAAACUUCAAGUUUAUUAUGAUAUGAGUUUUUACACCAAUAAAUAUCCACUUUAUUGUGGCAUUCUUUUGUUUAUGUAGUACAAACUAGAGAAUGAAGCAGGUAGCUUUUCAUAUACAAAUUAUCCCGCUACAAGUUGUAGUAAUAGAAGAUAUCAAA
rnacentral:lncRNA from 1 species